rnacentral:rRNA from 1 species
UACAGAGGGUGCAAGCGUUAAUCGGAAUUACUGGGCGUAAAGCGCGCGUAGGUUGUUUGUUAAGUUGAAUGUGAAAUCCCCGGGCUCAACCUUGGAACUGCAUCCAAAACUGGCAGGCUAGAGUAUGGUAGAGGGUGGUGGAAUUUCCUGUGUAGCGGUGAAAUGCGUAGAUAUAGGAAGGAACACCAGUUGCGAAGGCGACCAACUGGACUUAUACUGACACUGAGGUGCGAAAGCGUGGGGAGCAAACAGG